rnacentral:rRNA from 1 species
GUCUUUUUGAUUAUAAUUUAAAGUCUAACCUGCCCACUGAAUUUUUUGAAGGGCCGCGGUAUUUUGACUGUGCAAAGGUAGCAUAAUCAUUAGUCUUUUAAUUGAAGGCUUGUAUGAAUGGUUGGAUGAGGUAAUAACUGUCUCAAGUUAAUAAGUAAUAAAAUUUUAUUUUUAAGUUAAAAAGCUUAAAUAUAAUUAGAGGACGAGAAGACCCUAUAGAUCUUUAUAAAUUAAUAAAUUUAAAUUUUUUAGUUAAAAUAUGUUUUUAUCUGUUAAUUUAUUUUAUUGGGGUGAUAGAAAAAUUUAAAUAACUUUUUUUUUAGUUAAACAAUGAUUUUUGAUUAAUUGAUCCAUUAUUAAUGAUUAAAAGAUUAAGUUACCUUAGGGAUAACAGCGUAAUUUUUUUGAAGAGUUCAUAUCGAUAAAAAAGAUUGCGACCUCGAUGUUGAAUUACAAGGUUAACUUUAGGUGUAGAAGUUUAAAGUUUUGGUCUGUUCGACCAUUAAAUC